ACAGAGUCUGAGGGGGAGCCAGAUCAGAAAGAUGAUGAAGGGGAGCCAAGCAGAGACAGAAGGUCAUCAUCUGAGGGGGAGCAAGAGAAAGAAGAACAAUCAGAUGAGUAGCUGAUCAACAAGCAUCCUAGAAAACAUACAUGAAGCCAAGGAGGUACAUCUCUAAACUGUUAGGUAUGUUCUGGAUCUAGGAUGUAGAAUGUCUGAAUAUAUAAAUUUCCAUAUCAAUAUAAA
rnacentral:lncRNA from 1 species